GACAAGCGGCGCCGUAACGGGAAGCAACGCGCGACUGGGGACCUCGAAGGACCUCUCCGCUGGUCACGGAACACCCUUGCGACGUUUCGGUGGCGACGAUAAUACGUACCAGGAUACCGCCGGCAAGCGUCCAGAUUAUCACACACGCUCCCAUAUCCCAAAACAUCACCAUCGGGUAUAAAGAUCGUAGAAGGAUCUCGAAGGAGUAUCGUCAUCUAAGGACACCUCGGGGAGACGACGUUCAAGAGGCAAAAGAAGAGUGACUCUCGGUCACGAGGUUCACCGCACGUGCAGCGCGCGUCUUGCGAGAAAGUGAAUACAACGACAGUGCGAUCGAGACUCGCGGACGUUUUAAUCGACGACGCGAUUUUCGACAGGGAACUGGGGAGGACAGGAUCACGAUCGCGCAAGAACAAGUGAGAGAACUUGGUCGUUCCGGAGUGCGGAGCAGUGCGGUUGAUUGGUAGGUGAGACGUCAACGCGGGCGGACCUUCAAGUGCGCGCUCGUAACGCCCGCGAACUCGUGGCCCGCGCGUCCGGACGCAUGUGCACCGGCACGCGGUCGGCGCGGCCGGCUUAACGGUGCAACUUCCACAGUGAACGCCGUCAGUGGCGAGCGGACGUUCAUGGAUCGUCGCGGAAUACCGGCCGCCGACGACGACGUUCCGACGACGACGAUUCAUGCGCGGUCCUAAAGGAACACGGCAUCGGGCGCAUCCGCUCUGACGGAGAGGCGGUGGAGUCCCUCGCGGACACGCGAAGGGGUAAGCAAGGGAGCGACGAGGAUUCCUGCAGCGAGUGGCAACGCGAAGGAGGAAGUCUGUUGCCCCAGGAGAGUCCUUACGGCCUCACCACGCGGUCCGACGAGUGGAGCGGUCUCCUGCCCAGCUCCACGAUCGUGGGUGCUGGGGGGUCUCCAUGGCUCGGACUCGGUGCCGGGGGUGGUACCGGCGCCACCACGGGGGGAGGAAGUCCCGUAGAGCUCGAGGGCCACUGGGGACGUAAGCUGUACGGCGCGAGUGUGGCACCGCCGCCCCCGCCGCCUCAUCAUCAUCCGCGGGCGCCGUUGGUUUUCGCGCCUCAGGACAUGCGGCAGAUACUGAAGGAAGAACCUCUGCCACGUGCUUGGCCGCAGCCCGCGCUCGCCGACAACGGAGCAAUCGGGGUGGUCCGAGCGCAAUUCGAGAAGCAACCGCCGAGUAAUCUGAGGAAAAGCAAUUUUUUCCACUUCGUAAUCGCACUCUAUGAUCGACACAACCAACCGAUCGAGAUUGAGAGGACGUCAUUCAUUGGCUUCGUCGAGAAAGAUCAGGAGGCCGACGGUCAGAAAACGAACAAUGGUAUUCAGUACAGUCUGCAUUUACUCUAUAACAAUGGUGCCAGGCAGAUACAAGACAUCUUCGUUCGGCUUGUAGACUCCGCGUCAAGACAAGCAAUCAUGUAUGAGGGACAAGACAAGAAUCCAGAAAUGUGUCGCGUUCUGCUGACGCAUGAAGUCAUGUGCAGUCGAUGCUGCGACAAGAAGAGCUGUGGCAACAGGAACGAGACGCCCAGUGACCCUGUCAUCAUCGACCGAUUCUUCCUCAAGUUCUUUCUCAAGUGUAACCAAAACUGCCUCAAGAACGCUGGCAAUCCACGUGAUAUGAGACGCUUUCAGGUGGUCAUUACUACGCAAGUGGAUGUAAAGGGACCAUUGCUAGCGAUGUCGGACAACAUGUUCGUUCACAACAAUAGCAAGCACGGUCGCAGGACGAAACGCAUGGACCCAAGUGAUCCUGGUCUAUAUCCGCCAUUACCUCUCCAAACGCCAUGCAUAAAGGCGAUAUCACCCAACGAAGGUUGGACAUCGGGUGGAUCCACAGUCAUAAUCAUCGGUGAAAACUUCUUCGAUGGAUUGCAAGUUGUUUUCGGAUCUUCACUAGUCUGGAGUGAGAUGAUUACUCCACACGCGAUCAAAGUGCAAGCACCGACGCGACAUAUACCUGGCGUCGUUGAUGUCACGUUGUCUUACAAAGGCAAGCAAUUUUGUAAGGGAGCGCCCAGUAGAUUCGUCUACGUUUCGUUAGACGAGCCCACUCUCGACUACGGUUUUCAGAGGUUACAGAAACUCAUCCCGCGGCAUCCGGGCGAUCCUGACAAGCUACCGAAGGAAAUAGUGCUGAAGAGAGCGGCAGAUCUAGCGGAAGCCCUUUACAGCAUGCCCAAGAGCGGAAACAUGGGGAUCACGGGUUCUCUCAGAAGCCCGGGUUCGGUGCAUGCGCCCGUACCUCCCACUUCUAGUUCGGCGACGGCUUUUAAUUCCUACACGGGCCAACUUGCAGUGACGGUGCAGGAAAAUGGUACCGCGGCGAAAUGGACGGACGACGGUAGUUCCGUGACGACAGGAGCCAGUGCUGGCGGAGGAGGUGGCGGUGGCGGCGGUGGCAGUAGCGGUGGUAGCGGCGGCGCCGGUGGUGGAAGCGUCGGUGGCAAUGUCGGAGCCAACCCCGACGCCUACAGACAAAGCAGUAGUGCUAGUCCACAUGGUGUCGUAACUGGCGGUGGUUAUUGCGGUAGUUCGGCCAGCACGCCACACAGUCAUAGUACCAACGGAAGUUACUCCGUUGCCAAUCCGUACACCGGCAGUCCGACUCUUUACACCUCACCGCACGAACAAUAUGGCAUAUUCUAUACGUCCGGGGACGGGAGUGCGUUCGCCCCCGUAGUACGACCACCGACCACCUCAGUCCCACCGCACUGGUCCACACAGCACCACCUCGCCACAGCCGCCCAGUAACCGCUAACCGUCCACCAUCAUCACCACAGUUAUCAUCACCACCACCAUCAUCCUAUGCACUGCGAUUAGAGAAUUAAGAGAGACUACAUUUGAAAAUUGGGCAUGUUGCAGGACUAGGAGAGGUGGUUGGCUCACCCUUCAACAUGAACCCAUUUAUGUUGCCGCCUUGCAACCAGGCAUAUUCAGCCGUUGCCAGUCCGCU
rnacentral:misc_RNA from 1 species